CCUACGUGAUGCAGCAGUGAGGAAUAUUGGUCAAUGGGCUUACGCCUGAUCCAGCCACGUCGCGUGAGGGAAGACUGCCCUCUGUGUUGUAAGCCUCUUUUGUCAGGGAGCAACGCCGGCUACGUGUAGCCGGACUGAGCGUACCUUACGAAAACGCAUCGGCAAACUCGGUGCCAGCAGCCGAGGUAAUACGGAGGAUGCGAGCGUUAUCCGGAUUGAUUGGGUUUGAAGGUUGCGUAGGCGGAAUGCCAAUUCCGCGGUAAAAUCGCGGGGCUAAACCUCGGUCCGCCGUUGAAACUGGCGUUCUUGAGUGGGCGAGAAGUAUGUGGAAGGCGUGGUGUAGCGGUGAAAUGCAUAGAUAGCACGCAGAACUCCGAUUGCGAAGGCAGCAUACCGGCGCCCAACUGACGCUGAAGCACGAAAGCGUGGGUAUCGAACAGGAUUAGAUACCCUUGUAGUC
rnacentral:rRNA from 1 species